UACAGAGGUCCCAAGCGUUGUUCGGAUUCAUUGGGCGUAAAGGGUGCGUAGGCGGCGCGGUAAGUCGGGUGUGAAAUCUCGGGGCUUAACUCCGAAACUGCAUUCGAUACUGCCGUGCUUGAGGACUGGAGAGGAGACUGGAAUUUACGGUGUAGCGGUGAAAUGCGUAGAUAUCGUAAGGAAGGCCAGUGGCGAAGGCGGGUCUCUGGACAGUUCCUGACGCUGAGGAGCGAAAGCAUGGGGAGCGAACAGG
rnacentral:rRNA from 1 species